rnacentral:rRNA from 1 species
AGCCCAACUCUAGCUCAACCAAUUACAUUACCCCCAACCUCUUCCACCCAAAAAACCAAAACAUUUUCCCAGCCCAGUAUAGGCGAUAGAAAAGCCCCCACAUAGACGCGAUAGAGAAACGUACCGUAAGGGAAAGCUGAAAUAAAAAUGAAAAUCAAGCACAAAACAGCAAAGAUCAACCCUUGUACCUUUUGCAUCAUGAUUUAGCAAGAACUAACCAAGCAAAACGACUUAAAGCUUGCCUCCCCGAAACCCAAGCGAGCUACUCUCAAGCAGCUAUUUACUGAGCAAACCCGUCUCUGUUGCAAAAGAGUGGGAUGACUUGUUAGUAGAGGUGAAAAGCCAACCGAGCUGGGUGAUAGCUGGUUGCCCGCGAAACGAACCUAAGUUCCACCUUGAUUUGCCUCCACAGGCCCAUUAACCCCUUACGAAGCCAACCAAGAGCAAUCCAAAGGGGGUACAGCCCCUUUAAACCAAAACACACUUUCACAAAGCGGAUAAACCUCUCCACCAAACCACGAAUGUAGGCCUUUAAGCAGCCAUCAACAAAGAAUGCGUCAAAGCUCCAAACCCAAAAAUCUACACAAUACAUGACUCCCUCCUUUUUAGCGUGCCAAUCUAUCUCAAUAGAAGAACUAAUGCUAAAAUGAGUAACUAAGGCAACCCCUCUAAACGGCGUCAGCUUAAACCUACAUAUUAUUAACAAACCUCCCCAUAUAUCAAACCCACCCACAAGAACCAAUAUCAUAAACCCCUGUUAACCCUACCAAUGGAACGCCCACUAAGAGUGAUUAAAACCUACAAAAGGAACUAGGCAAACCCGAGGCCCGACUGUUUACCAAAAACAUAGCCCCCAGCCCACCAAGUAUUGGGGGUGAUGCCUGCCCAGUGACAUUACGUUUAACGGCCGCGGUAUCCUAACCGUGCAAAGGUAGCGCAAUCAAUUGUCUCAUAAAUUGAGACCUGUAUGAAUGGCUAAACGAGGUCCCAACUGUCUCUUGAAGGUAAUCAGUGAAAUUGAUCUCCCCAUGCAAAAGUGGGGAUAAACCCAUUAGACGAGAAGACCCUGUGGAACUUGAAAAUCAACAGCCACCUCCCACCCUACUUUUCCCCCCCAAUAACAGGGCACAUGAAUCUCAAAUGAAACUGGCUUACAUUUUUCGGUUGGGGCGACCUUGGAGAAAAACCAAUCCUCCAAUAAACCAGACCACCCCUCUUAACCUAGAACAACACAUCUACGUGCUAAUAGCCACUGGACCCAGUAUUAACCUGACCAACGGACCAAGCUACCCCAGGGAUAACAGCGCAAUCUCCUCCAAGAGUCCCCAUCGACGAGGAGGUUUACGACCUCGAUGUUGGAUCAGGACAUCCUAGCGGUGCAGCCGCUGCUAAGGGUUCGUUUGUUCAACGAUUAACAGUCCUACGUGAUCUGAGUUCAGACCGGAGCAAUCCAGGUCGGUUUCUAUCUAUGACCAACUUCUUCCAGUACGAAAGGACCGAAGAAGUAAGACCAAUGCCCCAAUGUACGUCUUCACCACAAACAAUGAAACCAACUCAAUUGCUAAAGGUUCCCCGACCACUUAUGCCUUAGAAAAAGGCCC